CCUCCGAUAGCUCAGUUGGUAGAGCGGUGGACUGUAGAAGAGUUGCUGAUAUCCAUAGGUCGCUGGUUCGAAUCCGGCUCGGAGGA
rnacentral:tRNA from 1 species